GCCCCCGUGGCUCAACUGGAUAGAGCGCCGCGCUUCGGACGCGAAGAUUGAGGGUCCGAAUCCUUCCGGGGGCA
rnacentral:tRNA from 1 species